UGGGGAAUAUUGCACAAUGGGCGAAAGCCUGAUGCAGCAACGCCGCGUGCGGGAAGACAGCCCUAGGGUUGUAAACCGCUUUCAGCAGGGAAGAAACUGACGGUACCUGCAGAAGAAGAUGCGGCCAACUACGUGCCAGCAGCCGCGGUGACACGUAGGCAUCAAGCGUUAUCCGGAUUUAUUGGGCGUAAAGAGCUCGUAGGCGGUUCGGUAAGUCGGGUGUGAAAACUCUGGGCUCAACCCAGAGAGGCCACUCGAUACUGCUGUGACUAGAGUGCGGUAGGGGGAGCGGGGAAUUUCCUGGUGUAGCGGUGAAAUGCGCAGAUAUCAGGAGGAACACCAGUGGCGAAAGGCGCCGCUCUGGGCCGUAAACUGACGCUGAGGAGCGAAAAGCAUGGGUAGCAAAACAGGAUUAGAUACCCUGGUAGUCCAUGCCGUAAAACGUUGGGCACUAGGUGUGGGUCUCAAACCGAACGAGAUCCGCGCCGUCGCUAAA
rnacentral:rRNA from 1 species